rnacentral:rRNA from 1 species
GGGGAAUAUUGCACAAUGGGCGCAAGCCUGAUGCAGCCAUGCCGCGUGUGUGAAGAAGGCCUUCGGGUUGUAAAGCACUUUCAGCGAGGAGGAAGGGUAGUGUGUUAAUAGCACAUUACAUUGACGUUACUCGCAGAAGAAGCACCGGCUAACUCCGUGCCAGCAGCCGCGGUAAUACGGAGGGUGCAAGCGUUAAUCGGAAUUACUGGGCGUAAAGCGCACGCAGGCGGUUUGUUAAGUCAGAUGUGAAAUCCCCGCGCUUAACGUGGGAACUGCAUUUGAAACUGGCAAGCUAGAGUCUUGUAGAGGGGGGUAGAAUUCCAGGUGUAGCGGUGAAAUGCGUAGAGAUCUGGAGGAAUACCGGUGGCGAAGGCGGCCCCCUGGACAAAGACUGACGCUCAGGUGCGAAAGCGUGGGGAGCAAACA